rnacentral:rRNA from 1 species
UACAGGGGGGGCAAGCGUUGUUCGGAAUUACUGGGCGUAAAGGGCUCGUAGGUGGCCAACUAAGUCAGACGUGAAAUCCCUCAGCUUAACUGGGGAACUGCGUCUGAUACUGGAUGGCUUGAGUUUGGGAGAGGGAUGCGGAAUUCCAGGUAUAGCGGUGAAAUGCGUAGAUAUCUGGAGGAACACCGGUGGCGAAGGCGGCAUCCUGGACCAACACUGACGCUGAUGAGCGAAAGCCAGGGGAGCAAACGGG